GUGCCUACGGGGCGCAGCAGUAGGGAAUCUUCCACAAUGGGCGAAAGCCCGAUGGAGCAACGCCGCGUGGGUGAAGAAGGUCUUCGGAUCGUAAAACCCUGUUGUUAGAGAAGAAAGUGCGUGAGAGUAACUGUUCACGUUUCGACGGUAUCUAACCAGAAAGCCACGGCUAACUACGUGCCAGCAGCCGCGGUAAUACGUAGGUGGCAAGCGUUAUCCGGAUUUAUUGGUCGUAAAGGGAACGCAGGCGGUCUUUUAAGUCUGAUGUGAAAGCCUUCGGCUUCACCGUCGUAGU
rnacentral:rRNA from 1 species